AUUGAACGCUGGCGGCGUGCUUUACACAUGCAAGUCGAACGGUAACAGGCCGCAAGGUGCUGACGAGUGGCGAACGGGUGAGUAAUGCAUCGGAACGUGCCCAGUCGUGGGGGAUAACGCAGCGAAAGCUGCGCUAACACCGCAUACGAUCUAUGGAUGAAAGCGGGGGACCGUAAGGCCUCGCGCGAUUGGAGCGGCCGAUGUCAGAUUAGGUAGUUGGUGGGGUAAAGGCUCACCAAGCCAACGAUCUGUAGCUGGUCUGAGAGGACGACCAGCCACACUGGGACCGAGACACGGCCCAGACUCCUACGGGAGGCAGCAGUGGGGAAUUUUGGACAAUGGGCGCAAGCCUGAUCCAGCAAUGCCGCGUGCAGGAAGAAGGCCUUCGGGUUGUAAACUGCUUUUGUACGGAACGAAACGGUCUGGGUUAAUACCCUGGGCUAAUGACGGUACCGUAAGAAUAAGCACCGGCUAACUACGUGCCAGCAGCCGCCGUAAAAC
rnacentral:rRNA from 1 species